UGCACUGGGAAAUUGACUUUCAGCUGA
rnacentral:piRNA from 1 species